rnacentral:misc_RNA from 1 species
AACGCACCUUGCGCCCGCCAGUAUUCUGACGGGCAUGCCUGUUCGAGCGUCAUUUCAACCAUCAAGCCCUGGCUUGUGUUGGGACCCUGCGGCUGCCGCAGGCCCCUAAAUCCAGUGGCGGGCUCGUCGUCGUACCGAGUGCAGUAAACAUCCUCUCUCAGGGACUACGACGGGUGCCGGCCGUGAAACCCCCACUUCUCAAGGUUGACCUCGGAUCAGGUAGGAAUACCCGCUGAACUUAA